rnacentral:lncRNA from 1 species
AGCCUAGGCAGUUUUCGCAGUAGGAUGAUCCAGACCUUCAUCCCUGAGGUGUUUGAGCCCUGGUUACCUUGUCCUUGUAAGGCUGUGAUUGCUACAAUUAGCUGCUCAUAGUUAUCACUGGACAGGGAAGGAUCAAGACUUAUCCUCCAUGCUGCCACCUCCAUCAUAGUGAAUUCACCGACACUGUACACUUUCAUGCCUCCACUAUGAAGAAACAACCUUAACAUCUCACAGCUGGAAAACACUGUGGAUUUCACAGAGCAGUGAGCAUCUGAGAAAUAUUGGGACUUAAGGAAGUGCAACCAUUGUAGGGAAACAUUCAGCCUCUUCAAGUACAUUCCUACUUCAACAAACUGGUGGAGACCGCCCUGAGAGUAAUGAAGGAAGAAGCAGUGACUGUUCAUUUCAAUGUGAAAGUGGAAGAAAAUCAACCAUUUUGUUAAAUCUUCCCAGAGGAAUCGAAUGAAACUAAAUAAUCUUAUAAUCUAGGUACAAGAAGGACAACACAUUGAAGGGAUGAAUUAGGGCUUUUCUCUUCCAGAUUGGAGGAUAUCAGGACCAGCCCAGGGUCCUUGAAAAUGAAUCUGCUUUCCCUUUAUUUGGCCCAUAAAAUCUGCAUCCUUGGGGAAGGCCUGACUUUACUGUGUGGAAAGAAAUCACAGGAGGAGAGAAUCAGGCUAAAUGAGCCAGAGGGCUUUGAGACUCGGUGUCCCUUUGCAGCCUCGUUGCCUGCCAAGAGGGCAGGUGUGGAGACCCCUGGGGCCCUGGAGCAGCCUGAGACUCAGGAAAAGAGGUGCAGCAGCAGAGGGGAACAUGAACACCAUGCAGGUCCCAGCUGGGCAGUAAAAUGGGUCAAACCAAGAGCACUGCACACUCACAAAUCAAAGGAAAAUUCUCAGUGGAGAAGUCGUCAGGAGCAACUUGGAUGCCAGCCAAAGGAAAAACACCGAGGAUUAUAGACUUCCAUUAAACUCAGUCCACACAAGUCAGCAGAUACAUUCUCCCUAAUGAGAAGAUGGGGGUGGUGCUGCCUUGGUUCCUUCAGGAUCAGCUCACUCAUUCUAGCACAUUUCACAGGGCGCCGGUGUCUCAUCACAUAUGCCUUGCAGCACCAAGCGUAACAGCUUAUAUUUGUUGUGUGAAUUUAAUUGAAUCAAACAACUAAGGUCAGAGAAAAGAAAUCAAUUAAUAAUUAUCUUCUGAGCAUGUGUUAUGCGCAUUGAACUCUGCCAGUUGUAUACAAGGUGCGACUAUAAAGCAAAGAGGCAGACUUCCUUGUGUAGUUGGUGGGAGCAGACCAGUUACUUUACGCUUUCAUUUCAUGCUUUAUCCACACCAAGCUCAUUUUUGUUGCAAGAGUUGGGGACCUCAUUUGAAG